UCUAAAAGUACGAGAAAUUAUUAUCCGGCAGUACCAUAAAGGGAAAACAAUGCGAGAAAUCUCCAGUGAAUUAAAUGUUGCAACAACUACUAUAUUUAAUAUAAUUAAAAAAUAUGGUGAAACUGCCAGUAUUGGUGUUCGCGGCAAAAGUUCAGGACGUCCAAAAGUUGUUUCUCAAAGAAAUGUAAGGAACUUGAUUAAAAUUUGUAAGUCGGGAAGAAGAAAUACUCUACGAGAAGUAACUGCAAGGUGGAAUAGAGAAAGUGGGAUAAAUGUUUCCAGAGAAUGCUGCCACAAAUAUAUCCACAAGAGCGGUCUUAGUUUUUAUAAGGCCAAAGAAAAACCAUUGUUAACGGAGACUCAAAAAAGGAAUUGUUACAUUUGGGCCAAAUCAAAACUCUCGUGGACCAAAGAAAAUUGGAGCAACAAGUUAUUUAUAGCGACGAAAGCAAAUUUGAUGUCUGUGUCGGAGAUUAUCGAAAGCGGGACAAAACAGAAGCAUUCCAUAAGGAUUGUCUUAAAAGGACUGUAAAGUUUCCACAGGGCAUCACGGUGUGGGGUGGUAUGUCAGCUAAAGAGUUGGGAACGUUACACUUUAUUGAUGGCAUAGUAAAUGCAGAAAAAUAUCGAGACAUUCUCGUUUACCAAGUGCAGCAAAUUUAUAUCCAUCUGGAGAUUUUAUCUUUCAAUAGGACGGUGCCUCAUGUCAUACUGCUAAAUCUACCAAAAAAUGGAUGGGGGAACAUAAUAUGAAAGUUUUGUCACAUCCCUCUAGCAGCCCGGAUCUCAAUCCAAUCGAAACACUUUAGCACAAAAUAUAGCAACGCAUAAGAGGUAGUCCGCAGCGUACUUUGCCACAACUACGUGCUAAAUUACAGAAAAUAUGGGAUAGUUUCACCCCUAAAUUUUGUGAAGGUCUAGUUGGUACAAUGCCUCAUAGAGUUCAGGCUGUUAUUCAAGCUAAGGGCGACGUUACGCCUUACUCAUUUGUAUUUUCCUAUUUUACAACUCACUUGUUCCAAUAUUUAGUUGUCAGCAUUUUUCAAUUAUUUACCAAGUAAUUAAAUACUAAAUAACUUAAAAUAUAUAAAUAAAUUAUAAAAACAAUAUUAAACAUUAUAAAAAAGCUUGUUCAUUUCAUAUUUAUGAUUAAAAAAAAAAUUAAAUAAAAUAAUUUUCGCUAAA